rnacentral:rRNA from 1 species
GACGAACGCUGGCGGCGUGCUUAACACAUGCAAGUCGAACGGAAAGGCCCUGCUUUUGUGGGGUGCUCGAGUGGCGAACGGGUGAGUAACACGUGAGUAACCUGCCCUUGACUUUGGGAUAACUUCAGGAAACUGGGGCUAAUACCGGAUAGGAGCUCCUGCUGCAUGGUGGGGGUUGGAAAGUUUCGGCGGUUGGGGAUGGACUCGCGGCUUAUCAGCUUGUUGGUGGGGUAGUGGCUUACCAAGGCUUUGACGGGUAGCCGGCCUGAGAGGGUGACCGGCCACAUUGGGACUGAGAUACGGCCCAGACUCCUACGGGAGGCAACAGUGGGGAAUAAUGCACAAUGGGCGGAAGCCUGAUGCAGCAACGCCGCGUGCGGGAUGACGGCCUUCGGGUUGUAAACCGCUUUCGCCUGUGACGGAGCGUGAGUGACGGUAAUGGGUAAAGAAGCACCGGCUAACUACGUG